GAACCAGAAGGAGCUUGCUGACACACUGGAGAAAUAUUCAGAUGAGCUUGCUGUGAUUUGCCAACGUGAACUCAAAUCUAAUCUAAAGAAGAAGUUUCAAUGUGUAUUUGAGGGGAUCGCUAAACAAGGAAACCCAACACUUCUCAAUAAGAUCUACACAGAGCUCUACAUCACAGAGGGUGGAACAGGAGAGGUCAAUAAUGAACAUGAGCUGAGACAGAUAGAGACAACAACCAGGAAACAAGCAAGACCAGAGACUCCAAUCAAAUGUAACGACAUCUUCAAACACUUAACUGGACAAGACCAACGUUUCAGAGCUGUGCUGACAAAGGGAGUCGCUGGCAUUGGAAAAACAGUCUCUGUGCAGAAGUUCAUUCUGGACUGGGCUGAAGGAAAAGCAAAUCAGGA